GUGCUCACUUUGGCAGCACAUACACUAAAAUUGAAAUGAUACAGAGAUUAACAAUGGCUCCUGUGCAAGGAUGACAUGCAAUUCUGUAAUGCAUUUCAUAUGUUU
ensembl:snRNA U6 U6 spliceosomal RNA